UCCCGUGUGGUCUAGUGGUCAGAUUUCCUGGCUCUCACCCUGGCGGCCCGGGUUCGACUCCCGACAUGGGAA
rnacentral:tRNA from 13 species